CCUACGGGCGGCUGCAGUGGGGGAUAUUGCACAAUGGGGGGAACCCUGAUGCAGCGACGCCGCGUGGGUGAAGGAGCGUUUCGGCGCGUAAAGCCCUAUCGGCAGGGAAGAAGCUGACGGUACCUGGCCAAGAAGCCCCGGCUAACUACGUGCCAGCAGCCGCGGUAAUACGUAGGGGGCAAGCGUUAUCCGGAUUUACUGGGUGUAAAGGGGGCGCAGACGGCAAUGCAAGCCAGGAGUGAAAGCCCGGGGCCCAACCCCGGGACUGCACUUGGAACUGCAUGGCUGGAGUACAGGAGGGGCAGGCGGAAUUCCUAGUGUAGCGGUGAAAUGCGUAGAUAUUAGGAGGAACACCGGUGGCGAAGGCGGCCUGCUGGACUGUGACUGACGUUGAGGCCCGAAGGCGUGGGGAGCAAACAGGAUUAGAUACCCCUGUAGUC
rnacentral:rRNA from 1 species